UAGGAAAGCUCAGUAAAUAAAAGCUAUAGCUUUAGUACUUGAUUUCUAGGUGGGCUUGUGACUGUCCAGGAGUAAAAAGAGUUUAUUCUUCUUUAAGGGGAUGACUUGAUGUUGGAAAAGAGGAGGAGUCAAAGGAACCACUUUCAGCUGGGGAGCCAAACCCGUCUCGUUGAGGGAGCCUAGAGCAAGUUGUUUUAAUUUUACCCAGCAUUUGUGGAGCUUCUGAGUCGCUGAAGAGAAAGCCCUGGUUGCACAGCCAUAUACAUCUGUAAUAGAAGAUCUAAUAAUGUUCUUCCCCUGGCGGCUUUCAAUUUCUUCUUUCAAGGUAUUAAUAAUUGUUAUUGUUUAUUAACACUUAAUAUGUGCCAGACUCUAGAUGUGGCACUUUCCCUACACUGCUUUAUAUAAACCUCAUGAAAAAAUGAUAAAGUAGAAAUUAUUAAUUUAAGAAUACAAAAAAAAUGAUUCUUGGAGAGGUUCCUUUGCCCAAGUUAACAUAGCUG
rnacentral:lncRNA from 1 species